AACGGGUGGUAAUGCCGGAUGCUCCAUCAUAUCGCAUGGUGUUUUGGGAAAGCCUUUGCGGCAUGGGAUGGGGUCGCGUCCUAUCAGCUUGAUGGCGGGGUAACGGCCCACCAUGGCUUCGACGGGUAGCCGGCCUGAGAGGGCGACCGGCCACAUUGGGACUGAGAUACGGCCCAGACUCCUACGGGAGGCAGCAGUGGGGAAUAUUGCACAAUGGGCGCAAGCCUGAUGCAGCGACGCCGCGUGAGGGAUGGAGGCCUUCGGGUUGUAAACCUCUUUUGUUAGGGAGCAAGGCAUUUUGUGUUGAGUGUACCUUUCGAAUAAGCACCGGCUAACUACGUGCCAGCAGCCGCGGUAAUACGUAGGGUGCAAGCGUUAUCCGGAAUUAUUGGGCGUAAAGGGCUCGUAGGCGGUUCGUCGCGUCCGGUGUGAAAGUCCAUCGCUUAACGGUGGAUCCGCGCCGGGUACGGGCGGGCUUGAGUGCGGUAGGGGAGAC
rnacentral:rRNA from 1 species